rnacentral:rRNA from 1 species
GUGGGGAAUAUUGGGCAAUGGGCGAAAGCCUGACCCAGCAACGCCGCGUGAAGGAAGAAGGUUUUCGGAUCGUAAACUUCUAUCCUUGGUGAAGAUAAUGACGGUAGCCAAGAAGGAAGCCCCGGCUAACUACGUGCCAGCAGCCGCGGUAAUACGUAGGGGGCAAGCGUUGUCCGGAAUGAUUGGGCGUAAAGGGCGCGUAGGCGGCCCGGUAAGUCUGAAGUGAAAGUCCUGCUUUUAAGGUGGGAAUUGCUUUGGAUACUGUCGGGCUUGAGUGCAGGAGAGGUAAGCGGAAUUCCCGGUGUAGCGGUGAAAUGCGUAGAGAUCGGGAGGAACACCAGUGGCGAAGGCGGCUUACUGGACUGUAACUGACGCUGAGGCGCGAAAGUGUGGGGAGCAAACAGGAUUAGAAACCCCUGUAGUCC